GGGGACUUUGCCCGGGACCAUGGCUUAAGCCUUUACAGAGUAUAUGUUCCUGGAAACAAAGCCUAGAGAAGGGCUGAGAUGGCCUCCCAGGUUGUUCCCCCAACAGUGACAGAUAUCUCUGAAGGGCUCAAUAAAGAAGAAUGAAGGAAAGAGAACACUUGUUGGAGCCACAGAUGUAAGGAACCUGGGCAGCAAGAGAUAAGCCAAUAUAUCUGCCUGUUGAGCCUACAGUUAAAAAUAAUUAUAGAGAACAUGGUGAUGCUUCAGAAACUGUCAGUUUCUCUGGGGAGGAGGUCUUGACUGCAAUUCUUGGGUGAGAGUUUUGGACAAGGAAAACCCAGAAAGCUGAGGCAUGGAGUGUCUUGG